rnacentral:SRP_RNA from 1 species
GCUGGGCAUGGUGGCACGUGCCUAUAGUCCCAGCUACUAGGGAGCUGAUGCAGGAGGAUCACUUGAGCCUAGGAGUUCUAUGCUGAUCAGGUGUCUGCAUUAAGUUCAGCAUCAAUAUGGUGACAUCCCGAGAGCAGGGGACCACCAGGUUGCCUAAAGAGGGGUGAACUGGCCCAGGUCAGAGACAGAGCAGGUCAAAACUCCCGUGCUGAUCAAUAGUAGGAUCGCCCCUGUGAGUAGCCACUGCACUCCACCUGGGCAACAUAGAGAGACCCCCCCAUCU